rnacentral:snoRNA from 1 species
UUUGGGAAAUGACGAACAAUUCAUCUCAGAUGUGUCCUUUAUGGAUUUGAUGAAAAUUUGCACGUCAGUCUGAUCCCAAA